AUUGAACGCUGGCGGCAGGCCUAACACAUGCAAGUCGAACGAGUGGCGGACGGGUGAGUAAUGCCUGGGAAACUGCCUGAUGGAGGGGGAUAACUACUGGAAACGGUAGCCAAUACCGCACACCAUCAGAUGUGCCCAGAUGGGAUUAGCUAGUUGGUGGGGUAACGGCUCACAAAGGCGACGAUCCCUAGCUGGUCUGAGAGGAUGACCAGCCACACUGGAACUGAGACACGGUCCAGACUCCUACGGGAGGCAGCAGUGGGGAAUAUUGCGCAAUGGGCGCAAGCCUGAUGCAGCAAUGCCGCGUGUAUGAAGAAGGCCUUCGGAUUGUAAAGUACUUUCGGCGGGGAGGCGUUACCCACAGAGAAAGCCCCGGCUAACUCCGUGCCAGCAGCCGCGGUAAUUC
rnacentral:rRNA from 1 species